CUACGGGCGGCUCCAGUGGGGAAUAUUGCACAAUGGGCGAAAGCCUGAUGCAGCAAUGCCGCGUGUGUGAAGAAGGCCUGCGGGUUGUAAAGCACUUUCAGUAGGGAGGAACAAGUAACGGUUAAUACCCGUUACCCUGACGUUACCUACAGAAGAAGCACCGGCUAACUCUGUGCCAGGGCAGCCGCGGUAAUACAGAGGGUGCAAGCGUUAAUCGGAAUUACUUGGCGUAAAGCGCGCGUAGGCGGUUUGGUCAGUCGGAUGUGAAAGCCCCGGGCUUAACCUGGGAAUUGCAUUCGAUACUGCCAGGCUGGAGUGUAGUAGAGGGAAGUGGAAUUCCGGGUGUAGCGGUGAAAUGCGUAGAUAUCCGGAGGAACAUCAGUGGCGAAGGCGACUUCCUGGACUAACACUGACGCUGAGGUGCGAAAGCGUGGGGAGCAAACAGGAUUAGAUACCCCGGUAGUC
rnacentral:rRNA from 1 species